rnacentral:SRP_RNA from 1 species
GGUCAGCUCCUAUGCGGCGGUAUGCCCGUGAACCCCGCGAGGUCCGGAAGGAAGCAGCGGUAGCGCGGUUAUCCGAGUGCCGUAGGUUCGCUGGCCUUU